GGCGGCGUGCUUAACACAUGCAAGUCGAGCGGAAAGGCCACUUCGGUGGUACUCGAGCGGCGAACGGGUGAGUAACACGUGAGUAAUCUGCCCUUGGCUUUGGGAUAGCCACCGGAAACGGUGAUUAAUACCGGAUACGACAACUACUCGCAUGGGUUGGUUGUGGAAAGUUUUUCGGCCAGGGAUGUGCUCGCGGCCUAUCAGCUUGAUGGUGAGGUAAUGGCUCACCAUGGCUUCGACGGGUAGCCGGCCUGAGAGGGUGGCCGGUCACACUGGGACUGAGACACGGCCCAGACUCCUACGGGAGGCAGCAG
rnacentral:rRNA from 1 species